GACGGAAGGUGCAAGCGUUGCUCGGAAUCACUGGGCGUAAAGGGUGCGUAGGCGGCCGUGCAAGUCUGGCGUGAAAGCCCCGGGCUCAGCCCGGGAAGUGCGCUCGAAACUGCGCGGCUCGAGUGCCGGAGGGGAGAGUGGAAUUCCUGGUGUAGCGGUGAAAUGCGUAGAUAUCAGGAGGAAUACCGGUGGCGAAAGCGGUUCUCUGGGAAUGUCCUGACGCUGAGGAGCGAAAGCUAGGGGAGCGAACAGG
rnacentral:rRNA from 1 species